AAACUUUCAGCAAUGGAUGUCCUUG
rnacentral:rRNA from 1 species